UGUGUUUUUUUUUUUUUUAUAGUUUUAGUGAUAAUGUUUUCAUUAUUGAUAAUAUUGAUUAAUGUGAUUCUGUAAAAAUAUUAAUAACUUUCUACAUGCAUUAAUUCUAUUAAAAUAGUAUACUAUUGACCCUUAGUAUCCAUUAGGAAUUGGAUCCAGGACCCCUGUGAAUACCAAAAUCUGCAGAUGCUCAAUUAUUUUAUAUAAAAUAGUACAGUAUCUUGCAUAUAAUCUGUGCAUAUUCCCCUGUAUACUUUAAAUCAUCUCUAUAUUACUUAAAAUACCUAAUACAGUGUAUAUGUAAAUAGUUUUAUUGUCUAGGGAAUGACAAGAGACGAAGAGAAAAAUUCAUGCAGAUAUAUUAUUUCCCCAAAAUAUUUUUAAUCCAUGGUUGGUUGAAUCCAUAGAUGCAGACCCCACAGACAAGGAAUGCUGGCUUUAGUUGCAAUUUAAUAAUUGUGUUAAAUGGCAUCAAUAGUUUCCUGAGGGCUAAGGGUUUGGCUUGUAGGCAUGGACCUGGGUUUGAACCCUGGUACUGGGGGAAAAAAAAAUUCUUUCAAAAGAGUUUAAGCAGUGCUGGGCAUAGUGGCACAUCUAUAAUCCCAGUAGUUUGGGAGGCUGGAGGAUCGUGGGUUCAAAGUCAGCCUCAUUAAUUUAGUGAGGCCCUGUCUCUAAAUAAAACAUUAAAAACGGAUGGAGAUGUGGCUCAGUAGUUAAGCACCCCUGAGUUCAAUCCCUGGUACCAAUAAAUAAAUAAAGCUUUUAGGGAGCAUCAGAGAAAUUUUUUUUGAUGGACAUAAGAUAGGCCAAAUAUUGUUUUUUCCCUUGAUUAAAAAUUAUGUUAGCUAUUUGCUUAUCUCACAAAUAAAGUUUAUUGGACUAGGGAUAUAGCUCAGGGGUAGAAGUCUUGCUUGGCAUACUCAACAGCCCGGUAUUCAGUCCCCAGUAUCAAAUACACACACACACACACACACACACACACACCCCUAAAAUAAGUUUUAGUAAUGCUUCUAAAUAUUUCAUUAUUAAUUUGAAGGGGGAAAAACAUCAAAAAUGUAAACUAAAUUCCUGAACAUUUAAGUUUCAAAAUGCACUAAUCAUAACUUGAAAGGUAGGAACAACUUUAUAGAUGCUAUCAGUCUAUUCAUUGGGUAGCUAAGGAAACAAAUUAAUUAGCAGCAAAUGACAGAUUAGAAUUCAAAUCCAUGUCUUUAACUUUAUAAUAAACGACUGUUUUUUCUUGUUUUUACUAAAAUGUUUUCUUAAAUCCUUAGCUGAAGAUUUUUGACGAGUUGAAAAUGUGAAGAUCUUCUGUACAUUUUUAUAUCCAAUAUUUAACUUCAGAGUAAGACCAAAUUGUAAUUUAGUUAUUAAUUUAUAACUGUGUAAAUAAGUCAAAAUACUAUAAUUAAGAUUUAAAGGAAAAUACUCUUUACCUUAUAUUUCUGUUUGUUAUAUUUGAAGUCAUUUAAAAAUGAUGUUUAGUAUAAUUCAAGUAACUAUGCAAUGUAUCAUAAUUCUGUGUUUUUUCUUCAAGGAACAUUUUACCCUUUCCAUUUUAACCAGACAAUAAAUAUACAAUAAAAGCAGUUCUUAGUGAAUUACUUCCAAUAAUAAUUAUCUAUUUUUAAAAUCCUAAAAGUAUUUCAGGUUUUGAGGAAUUGUAGUCAAUGAGUAAAAUCCUUCUGUUUUCAUUCUAAUUUGAAGGCAAAGUCUUUAAGACAAAACUCUCAUCUUUAAGACAAAUUUUGCCUUUUUUUCCUUCUGUUAUUAUAGUUAUAAGUGUUUUUAAGCCACUGAGUAGCAUUACUAAUAAUAUGCACAUGUUAGCCAUACUUGGAUUUACAAGAUUAUACUUUAUCUGUAAGUUCAUGUAUAUAUUUGUUUAGAAGUUGACAUUUUAAAUCAAAAAUUUCUUUUCCUUUUGCAGGUGGAUAUUACUAUCCCUUCCUCAUGGAAAAUGUUUUAUUCUAAGUGUUGUUUCUCAUUGAGUAUUAUCAAAAAGGAAAAAAAUUAUUGUCCUAAAUUUUUGAGAUAGAUUUGGCAAUAGUAAGUAUUUAGAUAUAUCACAUAUCUGAGAGAAGAAGUAAGAGAUCAUCAGUAUAUUCCUAUCUACUAAAAAGUUUUAUUUUCUUACUUUUAUCAAAGGAUUUUUUUUUUAUAACUUGUUACUAAUAGCUUGAACCCUUUUAAUGCAGAACUAACUCCCUCACCAGCACUAAGGUUCUCACCUUGUUUAUUUUAUAAAAUAUAAUCCAGAUAUUUCUAUUCUUUCUCUUUUUUUCCCUUUUCCUCUUUUUACUUUUUUACAUUGUUCAUAAUCAAGCCCAGUGCCUCAUACUAGGCAAACACACUACCACUCAGCUACAAUCCAGCCCUCUAAUAUUUUUUGAGGCUGUAUGCAAUGAAAAAUAUUUUGAUAAAAUGAAUGUUUAAAUCUUUUAAGUUAUGAUUACUGUGUAAGAUGACUACUUAGUUGCUGGUUUUUAUUUUUAUUGUGCUGAAAUUAAAUGCAACAUUUAUAAUUUUUACUUGGGUUUAUUUAUUUAUUAUUAAUACAUGGAAAUCAUGCAGAAACUUCAUGAAUAUUGCACUUAGGUUAGCACAUUGAUAACUUCAGAUCCUCCCUAAUUCUGUAGGACUUUGAAUAUUGUGUUCAUAUGAUAGGACUUUUAUAUUUUGAAAAGAUAUAAACUUCCCAAAGAAUCUUAUUAUUUAUAGCAAUCUUAUACAUAGCAUCAGAUUUUUGAGAUAUUCUGCUGAAAAUCUGAUUUCUUUUUCUUUCUGUAUGCAUGUAUUUUAUGGGGAUCAACCCAGAACCUUUGGCAUGCUAAACAAGUAUUGAAUCACUAAACUACACCUCCAGACCAAAACAAGAAAAAAUUUUAAGUUAUUUUUAUACUAAAUGUUCCUUGACCUGAUUAGCUUACUACUAAAUGUAUGCUAUGUAUCUUUUGUAACUUACAAGUUUCUUUUAUAUACUUAGCAUGGAUGUUCUUAGCAAUUUGGGAGGCAACUCAGUGAGACCUGUCUCAAAAUAAAAUACAAAAUAGGGCUGGGGAUGUGGCUCAGUGGUCAAGUGCUUGCCUGGCACAUGUGAGGCACUGGGUUCAAUCCUCAGCACCAUAUAGAAAUAAAUAAAGGUAUUGUGUCCAUCUACAACUAAAAACUUUUUUUAUUAAAAAAAAAAAAAAACCAAUCUCUUUAGAAAGAGAUGGAAACUGUAUCUCAUCCCAUAGUUUAUUUCCAAAUGAUAUUUGAGAAUGCUUAUACUUGAUCAGUUUAAAAUACAACAUUAUAGGGCUGGGGCUCAGCCGUAGAGCGUUCGCCUCGCACAUGCAAGGCCUGGGUUCGAUCCUCAGCACCACAUAUAAAUAAAUAAAGUUUUAAAAAAUACAACAUUAGAACUGAGCAUGGUAGCACAUGCCUAUAAUCCCAGUGGCAAGAAGAUCUUCAGUUCAAAGCCAGCUUCAGUAACUUAGUAAGGCCCUAAGCAAUUUAGCAGUACCCUGCCUCAAAAUAAAGAGAUUUUUAAAAGGGGGCUGGGGAUGUGACUCCAAUCUCUGGUACCAAAAAUAAAAUAAAAUAAAAUUCCACAUUAGUAUGAAACAAUGAAGUUUGUCUAGAUUUUGCUGUUCCAUAGUGUAAAUAGAGAAAGUUUAAGUGCAUCAUUUCUUUUUUCAUUUCCCCACAUUUUUUUAUUUAUAGUUGUACAUACUGAUGGAAUUUGUUGUUACAUAUUUGUACAUGCACACAAUAUCAAGUACAUCAUUUCUUAAAGAGAAAUUGUAAUUUUUAACUUAGUCUUCAGAGGUUUAUGUCAGUUGUUAUGUUUCCAUGUAUUUUCUGGAAGUGUCAGAAUGCUAAUAUUGGAAAACAACAGUAAAAAUAGUUAAGUAGGUUUGGAAUACUGACAUAGCUGUACAAAUUUAUUCUACUAUUUGGGUGCUAAAGAUGAUCACAAAACAAAACAAAUUUCAGCCCUUAGAAAACUUAAAAUCUUGAGGAUAGCUGAUAGUUAAUGGAAUAGAAAAUUUGUAGCACUUUAUGUGAUUUGUCAGACAGUUAUAAGUUCUAUGAAGAAAAUAAAGCAGGGAAGAUGGGAAUGAUGCAAUAAAGGUGUUUGGAAAUCUGGAGAAGUCUGUUUUAAAUAAUAUGUAAGAAGAUAUCUCCCAGAGAUAACAUUUAAACAAUAUAAAAUGAUCUCCAGGAAAGACCAUUCAAGCUGAUGAAAUAACAAGCAACAAAGGUCUUGAAGCUGAUGAAUUUUUUGUGGGUAAAGAAACAGCAAGAAAGUAUUAUGUGAUUAUGAGCCAAGGUAGGGAAUAGUAGCUAAUAGCAUCAAAAAGUUUAUAAAAGUCAGAUCUUACAUCUGUUCAAGAUUCUAACUUAAAAGCCAGGUGUGGUGGACAAUGCCUGUAAUCCCAGCAGCUCAGGUGCUAAGGCAGGAGGAUUGUGAGUACAAAAGCCAGCCUCAGAAACUCAGCAAGGCCCAAAGCAACACAGCAAGACCCUGUCUCUAAAUAAAAUACAAAAAAAAAAAGGUUGGGGAUGUGGCUCAGUUGAGCACUCCUGGGUUCAAUCCCUAGUACCAUUUAAUCUUAAAAUUCAGUUUUUCAUAAUUCUUUCGAGACAACUUUGAUAGUUGUAUGUGCCUCUGCCUAUUGAAUUUUUGCAGAUUGGACAGAACAUUCUUAUGAAUAUGAUUCAAGAUUGUAACCUACAUCUGAGACCAUUUAGAGUACAAACAAAAUGUUUAAGUGCAUGGUUAAUAGGUAUGUGUAUGGUUAUCAGGAUUUAAUGAAUUGUGCUUUGAUGACACUGAAAUUAUUUUCCAUUUCAUCAGUUUAUCUGGAGUCAAAGCUAAUGGAUCCAAGGGACAUUAAAUUUGUCCAUAUUUGUCAUCUACCCAAACAAAUCACAGUCAUCUUUGAUUCAUCCAGCCUUAGAAUUGCUACUGCCAUUAAGUACUUUAUUAUUUCUCACUUAUUUUCUUCAACACCUUUUCAGCUGAGAAAUUCUUUGCCUCUAAUUAUUUCAGUCUAACAAUUUCAUCAUCGUUAGUAUAUACCACUAGUUUAACCUGCUAAAACACCUCUUCCUAUAUUAUAAAAUUCAAACUUCUUAGCUUGGUAUCUCAUGAUCUUACCUCAGUGUUUUCUAAAUUAACUUUUUCUUCAAAUGAACUAAUUCUAAUCCAUUCAUUUUUCUUCUGUGCCUUUUUUUUAAUGCCAUUAUACUACGUUAGUUUUUCCCCAGCUUAUUCUGGUACCUUUUUUAAAUGUUAAAUCUCUCAUGUAUGUCAAGUAUUUCUUGACUUUUCACAAUCUGGCAUUAGCCAUUCUUCUCAUAGUAUGCACAAUUUAUGUCUAUAGUUUUAGUUUUGUGUUUUUUGAGACAUUAUAGCACUGUUGCCCCGGUAGUCCUUGAAAUUGAGAUCCUCCUGCCUCAGCCUCCAAGUAGCUGGGAUUACCAGCAUAUACCAUUGCAUCCAGCUUUAUAUUUGUAACUUAACCUUUUUCUGUUCCUUAUUGUACCUAAGGACUAUAACACUUCUGUCAUUAAUUGUGCCUCGUUUAUUUGUACAUGUUAACCUUUUAAAUGUACUAACAAUAUGAAUAAAAAUUUAAGAAACAAAAUGAAGACAAGCAGAUGGACUAAGACAACUUCAAAACACCUGCCUAAAUAUUAGGUCACAAAGUUAAUAUACUGAUUUAUUUUGACAAGUGAUAAAGUUGAUAUAGUUUUUUCUCUUUGUGUGUUAGUUAUGUGUGAGCCGGCUAUAAUAUGUUUAUGAUCUUAGCUUAAUAAAUAUGUUCUUGUAAAAAGUAUUCCAUGUAUUUUUAUAGUGUUCUUAAAAGAUUGGGAAAAUGUAUUUAAGCGCCCAGUAAUAAAAGGCUGCUAAAAUAACAUGCUGAAUAGAAUACUGUAUAUCUGUUUAAAAUAAUGUAGGUGAAUAUUUAAUGAGCUAAAAAGUUGUUCACAGAGGAUAAAGGUUAUCAUAUAAUGUGAACAGACUCACUAAAAUAAAAUAUAUGCUACAUUUAUCACUGGUUCCUCGGGUAAGAGAUAAAUUUAUUGGGGUGGAAGGAUAUUAAUGUUUGAUUAUAAAUAAGCACAUAUGGUUUUUGUGAUGUAGAAAGUUUUUUUGUUUUUGCUUUUUGUUUUUCCCAAAGGGAGAGAGAAUUCCUUAAAAAUAAAAAGUUAUUUAAAGGACCUUACCACCAGACAAUUACUUCCUUUGGAUAUCUAUAAAAGGGAAUAAUACUAUGCUCAGGAACUUUAGAACUUAAAAUAGAGGAACUGAACAGAUAAUGUUAAAAUCAGAUAAUUUGAAAUCAACUUCAUCUAGGAGGCAUGGUGGCAUACACCAGUAACCCCAGUGACUUGGGGGAGGCUAAGGUAGGAGGAUUGCAAGUUUGAUGCCAGCUUCAACAACUUAGACCCUGUAUCAAAAUAAAUACAAAAAAGGCUGAGGAUGUGGCACAGUGGUUAACCACCCCUGUGUUCUCAGUCCUCAAAGAAAUAUCAAAAAUAUCCCCUUCUCCUCCAGCCCCUAAAACUUCUAAGGUAAGUAUUAAAAAAAUGUGUAGGUAAACACAUUUUAAUUCUGAAACCGUGUUAAUAAACUAUAGAGAAUAUAAAUCUAUUCCUGUGCCAGGGAUAAGAAAAAGCGUGUACAAAAAAAUUUGGAAAUAUGCUUCUGGUUCAAAUUUUUCUGCAAAUUUGAAUAAAAUACCACUAACUGUUCCAUCAUAUUAUAAUAUAAAAGUGUUUCAAAUUAGAAGUAAUAUCUUGUUUUUGUUUUGUAACAGUACUGGGAAUUGAACCCCAAGGGUGCUUUACUACUUGUUAUAAGCACUUGUUAUUUUAUAUUUUUUUUUAUAUUUUGAGACAAGAUCUUGCCAUGUUGCUGAGACUGGCCUUGAACUUACGAUUCUCCUUCCUUGGCCUCCUGAGCCACUGGGAUUACAGAUGUGCACCACUGUGUGCAACUAAAAUUAUUUUUUUCUUACUAUUUUAAUAAAUGUGAGGAUAUGAAAAGUACAUUUUAUAAGAACGCGCAUAUCAAUCCCAAGAGUACCUUCCCAUGAUUUGAAAAGCGUUUUGAGACAAGGAAGGUCACUCGCUGAAAGGUUUUAAAUAGGAAGAGUGGGAGAAGUUAAUGAAAUGUACUGCUCAGAAUUUGUUGCAAGAAAUCUAACGCCUGUAUAUUUUGAGUUUCUUUUGUACCUCCAUAAUCAUCAGUUUUCAUCAAAAUGUUCUAGAAUUGUGGGAUUCUCAUUUGGUUUUUCAAAAAACAUUUCUCAGUGGUAAUGACAAUCAAUUAUGUAUAUUUCAACUUUAAAAUGGUUGAGUCAGGCAUGGUGUCACACACCUGUAAUCCCAGCUACUGAAGGCCAAAACAGAAGGAUCAACAACUUAUACCCUGUCUAAACAUUUGAAGGCUGAGGAUGUACCUCACGGGUAAAGCUCCCCUGGAUCCAUCCCCAGUACUUUGGGAGCAGGGGAGGGAAGGUUAUAAACUGUAAAUUAAUAAAUGGUGUAGUGAAUGUUUGACUUAUUAAUAGUGAACAUGUUUUUCUCACAAUAUGACCCAUUUAGAAUGUAAGUAAAAAUUGUGUCAACCCAUUUUUCUCACUUAAUAUUUUGUAAUUUAAAAACUCUUAACUUGAAAAACAACUGAGUUAAUAAACUUAUUCAGAAGUCUAAAAGUCUGACUAUGGAAAGAGGGGUGUUUAUCAAAAAACAAACCUGUAAUGCAGAUUUCAGUCAGAUCCUCUGUUAUUCUACUUCUGUAUGCAUUUUAGUGGGCAUUGCAUCCUUUAAUUUAAAAGAAAAAAAAUAAAGUUUAGUGGUCCAUAAUAGUUACAACACUGUCAUCAAUAUCAUUUUUAAAAAUAUUUUUAUUUAUAUUUUUAGUUGUAAAUGGACACAAUACCUCUAUUUUUUAAGAGAAUUUUUUUAAUAUUUAUUUCUUAGUUCUCA
rnacentral:lncRNA from 1 species